rnacentral:lncRNA from 1 species
GUCUACAGAUGAGCUGCCCUUGUGUUAAAUUCCCUUCUCUGACUGGAGCUGCCUGGAUGUGGGGAACAGGCUCAUGUGAAAUAAAACAAGGCUGAAUUUGUUCCCUCUAUAACAUGAUGCUGGACAGUCUUGCUUAGAAGAACUAUUGGACAUGACAAGUCCUAUGGAGAACAAAGCCCAUUUUUAUUUUAUUUUAUUUUAUUUUAUUUUUUGGAGACAGGGUCUGGCUCUGUCAUCCAGGGUAGAGUGCAGUGAUGUUAUCUUGGCUCACUGCAACCCUCACCUCCCGGGCUCAAGCCGUCCUCCCACGUCCGCCUCCUCAGUAGCUGGGACUACAGGCAUGUGCCACAAUGCCUGGCUAACUUUUGUAAUUUUUGUAGAGAUGGGGUUUUGCCAUGUUGCCUAGGCUGAUCUCAAACUCCUGAGCUCAAGCAAUCUGCCUGCCUUGGCCUCCCAAAGUGUUGGGAUUACAGGCAUGAGCCACCAUGCCCAGCCCCUAUUUUUAUUUUAUAGAAGCAAAAUAAUAGAUUAAUACUUCAAUUUACCUUUGUCACAUCUUAUGCCCCUCUACCAUACUAGAGUGUAAGCUCCUUGAGAGCAGAGACAGUGUCUAAUUUAUCACUGCAUUCUCAUUAUCUUGUAAUGCCUAACCUGGUUUUUACUAAAUCUGUUUUUAGACUCUCCCUUUUCCUUUAAUCACCUAGCCUUGUUUCCACAAGCUCCUUUAAAACUGCACCUAAGUCAGGCGAAGCCAUUAGAUUAAUUCUUUUUAUCUACCUCACUUGUUUGUUUUUGCCUGUUAUGUCCUGUGCGCCUUCCUACUCCUUUCUCCUCACCUCUUUCACAACAAGACGUGUAUUUGCAAACACCACUUAGAAGGCCAGUACCUCCAAAGAAGUCUCCUUUGCAGUUAAUUUAUGUGUACUGUUCCUAAAGCCAGCCCGUACCCAUGAAGAGCAACACAAUCUGCUAGUCCCAAAAGCAAGAAGUGUCGACCUUGCAGCAAGAUUUAGAUGCUUCAGAAGCCAAACUAGAUGUAGAAGCUCCAAAGGUGCAGAAAAAGAACUCCAAAAUGUUGACUUUUACCUCUGUCCUAAGAAUCACCCUGAUGCUAGCUGUCAAGAUACUUAUCAGUUUUUCUGCCCUGAUUAGACAUGUGUAACUUUAGCCACCUACUCUAAAAGGUCAACCAGAUCUUCAUUCCAUAACUCGUGCUUCUCGUCCUAAAUUAUGUACUAGAAAAAAUUGUAAUCCUCUUACUAUAACUGUCCAUGACCCUAAUUCAACUCAAUAAUAUUAUGGCAUGUCAUAAAGAUUAAGAUUUUAUAUCCCAAGAUUUGAUAUUAAGACUAUGUUCACCAUCCAAAAAAAAUCCUAGUCUCAUAGAGCCCACCCAAGCCAAUCAAGCCUUUAACUGCUCUGUGACCCUAUGUUCCAGGAACCCCCUGACAAAGUUGAUUUAACUGUUCCUCCACCAUUCUUAGUCAUAAAAGAUACACUCCAAAAGUUCAAAAAAAUCUAAAUAAGCACCAACAGAAAUGAGAAAAUAACAUCCCCUAGUAUCAAAACAUGUUCAACUAGAAACCCUCCUAACUACUUUAAUCACUAAGUUAGCUAGACCUCUUCUCAUCAUACUAUUAAGUUUAAUUUUUAAGCCUUAUAUAUUAAAUUAAUUUCUUAAUUUUAUAAAACAAUGCAUAGCUUCUGUCAAACUUAUGUAUCUUAAGACUCAAUAUAACCCCCUUGUUAUAACUAAGGAAUCAACGUUUUGAUUCCCCAAAAACACAAGUGAGGAAUGUAAUGCCCAACCUGGUUUUUACUAACUCUGUUUUUAGACUCUCCCUUUUCCUUUAAUCACCUAGCCUUGUCUCCACCUGAAUUGACUCUCCCUUAGCUAAAAGAGCCAGACAGACUCCAUCUUGGCUCUUUCACUGGCAGCCCCUUCCUCAAGGACUUAACUUGUGCAAGCUGACUCCCAGCACAUCCAAGAAUGCAAUUAACUGAUAAGAUACUGUGGCAAGCUAUAUCCACAGUUCCCAAGAAUUCGUCUGAUUGAUAACGCCCAAAGCCCCAGGUCUAUCACCUUGUAAUAGUCUUAAAGCCCCUGCACCUGGAACUGUUUACUUUCCUGUAACCAUUUAUCCUUUUAACUUUUUGACUACUUUACUUCUGUAAAAUUGUUUUAACUAGAUCCACCCCCCCAUCCCCUUCCUAAACCAAAGUAUAAAAGUUAAUCAAGCCCUUUCCUUGAAGCUGAGAAAAUUUUAAGCGUUAGCCGUCUUCCAGUCACCAGCUAAUGAAAGACUCUUAAUUUGUCUCAAAGUGUUGCGUUUUCUCUAACUCGCUCAAGUACAACAAUCUCCUGUAGUGCUUGGCACUUAGUAUCUAUUCUGUUACCUAUGGAAUGAAUGAAUGGAUAUAUUAUACCCUCUGCCUCCAAGUUGUCUUAUCAUUUAUGUUUCUCUGUCAUAAACAUAAUUCAACAUAUUCCUUUUGGUUGUUCUCAGACUUUCUUAGCUUUCUUAUAAUUAUAUGCCAUUCUUGUUUUUCAUGACGUUUUACAUCGUGAAUUUCACUUAGAAGAUGAUUAUUUUGGGAUGAUUCCUUCACCUAAAAGAAGCUAAGGGUAAGUGCAUUUAGAGAGAGAUUGUUGAGAACCCUUUAGCCCUAAUGCAUUUAUUCAGAGUGCACUGGACUAUGUCUUUGCAGAACUUGUCAAAUUGUUGUGGUCCUAAUGUCCUUUUAGAGUGUUGUUCUUUGCUGAUUUGUAGUUUCUAAGCAACAUUGUUAGGAUUAUGGAUUUCCAACUCCACUUAACAACUGGUAAAAAUGAUACGUGGGAUAAACUCUAGUCUAAAUUUGUUCUUAGUAGACAUGAGUAGCCUCUGGUUCUGCACACUCAGGCUUAGCCUAAAAGAGGGUUAAAAUAACACUUUGACAACAAGAGCUGUGGGCAUGGAGGAAUGUUAUCCAUUGAAAUGUUUCCUUGAUUUUAAUAAUCUUGACUCAAAUGAGCUCAUGUUAUUUUUAUUUUUAAAGAGCUUAGCACACAAUCUGGCACAGAAUGAAUGUUCGAUAAGUGUUAGCUAUUAUUAUUGUUGUUAUUGUUAACAAAGCAUUUUCCUUUGCAUCUUCUUCCUUAGGUCUUUCUUUCUUAUGAUUCUUUGAUAUCCCAUUACAUGCAAAUACAUCUUACUGAAAAGAUCUGUGAACAAAUGGUUGACUCAUGCUUUUUAUUUUGUGCACUGUUACCCUUUGGUCUUUUUGCCUGCAUGAAGGCUGUUGUCACUCACUAUUGCUAUGGGUUGUGUUGCAGCACUUUCCCAUUACACUAUUUGUACCAUCUUCAUCCCAAAUCAGCCCUGUCUCUUGUUUAUCUUAAUAUGGUCAAUCAGUUGCUACAGCUUCCUCACACACUCAUAGCCAAA